rnacentral:rRNA from 1 species
GGGUCAGUAGGUUGGUCGUGCCACCGGUACGUACUGGUCUCACUGAUUCCUCCUUCCUGAAGACCCGUACUGCCAUUAAUUUGGUGUUGCGGGGAAACAGGACUGUUACUUUGAAAAAAUUAGAGUGUUUAAAGCAAGCUAACGCUUGAAUACAUUAGCAUGGAAUAAUGAAAUAGGACGAUCGAUCCUAUUUUGUUGGUUUCUAGGAUUGACGUA